AGUCUACAAAACCCCACAUCCCCUGAGAAUUCUCUCGCCUGCCUUAGGCACUUAGGCUCCGGGAGAUUGCAAAUAACCUGCUUUCUUUCUGUUCCCGGGCUGCGUUCGGACUCCUGUCAGAUAGUAAAUCCUAAGUAAGGUGGCGUCGGACCCCUGUCAGAGAGUAAAUCUCAAGUAAGGUACCUGCCAUCGGCAGAUUUGAGCUUUCUUCUUGGACACCUAAUACCCACAGUCCUCCAGGCUCCGGUAGACUGCAAAUGACCUGCUUUCUUUCUGUUCCCGGGCUGCGUUUGGACCCCUGUCGGAUAGUAAAUCCCAAGUAAGGUACCUGCCCUCGGCAGAUUUGAGCUUUCUUCUUGGACACCUAAUACCCACAGUCCCCCAGGCUCCGGUAGACUGCAAAUGACCUGCUUUCUUUCUGUUCCCGGGCUGCGUUUGGACCCCUGUCGGACAGUAAAUCCCAAGUAAGGUACCUGCCCUCGGCAGAUUUGAGCUUUCUUCUUGGACACCUAAUACCCACAGUCCUCCAGGCUGUAGAUGAAGGGGUUCAGCAUGGAGGUGAUCACCGUGUACAUCACUGAGGCCACUGCAGCCUUUCUCGGGGAAGAUGACACAUCUGAACUGAGGUACCCUCCAAAGCCUGUUCCGUAAAAUCAGCAAACAACUGACAGGAUAACUUCAGGAAGUGGGUAUUAAUUCUCACGGUAUAAGUGAAGACAUUAAGCACCAGAGUUUAAGUAGCUUGAUCCACUGAAAGAGAUUCAACUGUGUGGAACCUAUGCCGUGGAGAAUUGCUUUCUGCCAUUGUUAUCGUCCAGCAGUUGCCGAAUAGCUCUGACCUGAGCAAAGCAGUGAAACGCGGUGCUGUUGAGUGGGUUGCCACUGCACCUUUUUCAACUACUCUAGUCUUGUGGAGAAAAUACCCCUUCUAAAUUUUUUCUUCAUUGAAUACUCUCCCUCAGCUCCAGAGUACCAUAUAGAGUUUUCUUGUAUUUUAGAGUUACUGUUUUAUCAAAGUUUACCAGUCUUUUGUAUUACAUUUCUCCUGUCUAAAUCGACUGUGUGGUUUCUACUCAUUAUGGAUAUAGAUUGAUACAAACUCAAUAAAUAUUUUUGAAUGAAUAA
rnacentral:lncRNA from 1 species